rnacentral:lncRNA from 1 species
AAAGAGAGUUGUGUAUCCAAAAAAUAAAAAAAAGAGAAAGAGUUGGAGAAUAAGAGGGAAAACCGAUAGUGAGAAAAGAGAGAGGCUUCACUGUCUACACUAGAUGAGAUUGUUCCCCAAUACGAAGCUUGAUUAAAGCUUUCCCCCUCAUUCAAGGUAACACGAAAUUUGGUUUCAUCUUUAUCAAUUUUACAGAAGACACAUUCGGGUUUUAGUGGGUAGCCAAGCGUUUCUCGUUCAUGAAUUGAAUUCUAUCUUCUGAUUAAUGAGUUCAAAAAAGCUUCAAUCUUUUGGAACUUAGAUUAUAGUUCAUGCUUGUUAGGUGAUACCCAAAUACUCAAAUGCACCAAAUCAUCUUUAAUUUCUGGAAAAUUGAUUUCUUUGAUGGGUUUCUUGUCACCCCAUUUGCACAUUUGAUUCAUACUUGAACAAUUUCACUCUUGUUUUUGUUGAAAUUUUGCAGCAGUUGGUUGUUUUGGAAAUGGCUGAGAGAGAACAGCAGCACCAAAGUGAAUCACAGAUGCAAUCUCCAAAGGAUGACAUGGUGGCAUGUGUGAUGGCAUUGGAGGCUGCUUUGCUUCCAUGCUUGCCUGCCAGAGAGCUUCAAGCAAUAGACCGUUCACCGCAUCCGUCUCAUCAGAGUGAGUGCCAUUAUCUCUUUACAUGUCACUUAAUGUAACUUGUUUUGUGUUUGUUUUUCUGUUUUAGUACAAAAGAUAAGUUAUUGAUAUAUUGUUUGAGCUGGUGAUCUUUGUAAUGUGUGUAUACAAUGAUUUGAAAUUUGGAAUAGCAUUUGGGGAUAUCUUCUGGUUAACGGGUGAGAAUAAGGACAUGUUAAGCUGGUUGAACACUUAGUUGGGGGUUCUGGCUUUGGCUCUGGCAAAGGAGCAUUCUAGUUUUAGUUCAAUGGAGGAGUUGGGAGAUCGAAAGAUAGUCACUGGGAGAAGGGAGAUUUUUGUGAUUUGAAGACUCUUUAACAUUCAAGGAUCAUGGUUGACAACAAAACUUAAAUAACCAAGUGCUAAUGUCUUUAGUAUUAAAUAGUGGUUCGACUAGAUAGAAGAUCUAUAUUGGCAAAAUUUGGGAGAUGGGGAGCAGCUUGUCUGUAUGGAGUGAUCCAUGGAUACCGGGAUUAACCUCAUUUAGACAUACUUCUAGUACUUCGGAGGUGGAUGCAGAUGUUAAGGAUAGCACUUUUAUAGUGUCUCCUGGUGUCUGG